ensembl:lncRNA
AAAGGUGUGGAUGAAAGUCUUAACUUACCUUAACUACGUCAGCUAAUAGUGUAUGCAAGUCAGUCAAACGAAGGGCUCAAGUGAAAGAAAGUAUCCUUUAUUAAUGCCCGUGGGAAAAUUAUUCUCAGGAUUCGACGAAUCCGACAUAUGCUGCCGUAAAGGUGCUCGGAGAUUCAACCGCCAACCCCGUCUGCUCCAUGCGCCACAGAAGCUGUAAAAAGGUGGAGAUGCCGGGGAUUGAACCCGGGGCCUCAUACAUGCAAAGCAUGCGCUCUACCACUGAGCUACAUCCCCUGAUGACAUGUCAGCGGGAAGAUCUAUGUAUAUAAACUCUCUCUCCAGUCUAUGAUGUUAUAUGGCGUUAUCCCGUAGUGCUGUGGGUUAGCUAACUUGUUGGUUCCGCUUGUUUGCUAAUAUGAAUCUGCUGUCAAGCUAAAUGCUAUUUGCUUUAACGAGCUCCCAGCUCUGUAAUAUUCUAGUAAGAUUAGCGAGUUCUUAACUUGUUCUUAAGUUGGUAGUAAGCGCGUUCACACGCUGCAAAAGAGACUCGAAGAUUCUAGCUUGGAGCUAAUUUGCAUCUUUUGACUGAAGCCAUCGAUCACUGGGGAGCACGGACUGAUCCGCUUCUUGCUGAAGCCCUCCAGCUGUUCUCAACAUUUCACUGACGCCUCGACUGCUCGGAGGUUUCAAACCUGUUUUACAAAGCUGAAGUCACGAGGCACGCGGCCUCACCUGCUCACCCUUUCUGCUUACUGUCAAGUUGAGGCUGAAUCCUGUUUCCCAUGAGCCGUCUCGUCGUCGCUGCAAGGCUUCCCGGUAAAAUGGAAACAAGCACCUUGAGCCCGGAUCGUCUGCAGGGAUCAGACGGCCCUCCGGACGUCGCAGUGACGGCAAGUGCAAAGACUUCCGCGCAUCCACGAUUCCAGCUGUGCUCACCAGAUGCAGGCCGAAGUUGAGCACGCGCUGUAAAAGGCGCUGCAUGUGCGCCCGUAGAGCGGCGAGACGGAAUACCAAAGUCAAUAGUCGUCUCUUUGUCGUGUUUGUGUGUAGAAUGCUGCAUUAGUUUUCACAGUAAGCGGCCACCGGGCCAUGCGAGUACCAGGAACUGAACACUGAAUAAUACAAUAGCACCGUAUUGAUUUUUAGAGCACUGCACACUCAAGCGCAGAUUGCGCCACUGCCAAUUAAAGGACGUCAUGGUUUUAUUUGCUCCAGGAUGGCGUGUUUGAAAGGGCUUUAGAGUAUUUGCAGGGCGGAUUAACCGCUUGUGAGGGAACAGCUGAACGGGAUACAUUUACUUUGAUUGGGAAACUAGCAAAAAAAAAGGGCAGGAGGUCGAGAUGGAUAGAUGGUUCAACAAAAUAUGGUACAAUGAUGGGCGUGUUUGUUUACGAUUCUAAUUAACAGUAGUUUAAUGUUUACUAAUGAUUUUCUGCCCUUAAACGCGUGGUUAUUUGUUUGCUUGCUCUUUUAGAAAAGAUAAUCAGUAUCUUUUACAGAGAAACACAACUAACAUUAGAGUUUCGUUUCCUCUUCUCCCUAAAAUAAAUCCUACUAGAUCAAAGCUUAAUAUCUGGUUCAGUGUUUUGUAGCCCUGCCUGAGAGAAUCGGGUGGCUUGCUCAUUUGUGUGCUAAUAUUGGUCAGUUAUACAAAAUGACUCCCCGAAGGUUAGAAUAAAACCCUUGCAAUAUAAAAAAAAAAAUGGAGCCCUCCCAUCCCCACAACCCUUUAUCAGUCGGAGAGCACCUGUCCGGACCUGACCUGAUUACCGAGGAAAGUAGGUCUGAAUUUUAACCCUCAUUGUUGUCACACAUGAAAGGACGCAGCCCAAAAUGAGCCGCUCACUCCUCCGGUUGGGUGCAGUCAAAAAGGAUGAGCGUGCUCGUGUAUCUGGUGCUGUACGUUCUGCCUUUUUUUUUUUUUUAGAGAUUUGGCCCACGUGAAGUUUGGAGGAUUUCGGUGGCCGUCGCCGUCGGCGCUCGGUUCUCUCCCGGGGCGUUUGUGGCUCGGUACUUGGCUGCCGUCGGUGUCGGGUCCUCAUGAGGAUGGAAGUGGAAGGCAAAUGUGCAGUUAGGCCUCUCCAAGCUUUUCUCAAGAAGAACUCCACUGGAUCUUCGUCGAAUCGUCUGUGCAUCCGUGCCGCUGUGACCAAACAUAUUGAUCUAUAAAUGACCAUUUC